rnacentral:lncRNA from 1 species
CGGCAACUACAUUACAAAUCACUUGGUUACUGAUUUACAAACAAAAUUAUCUACUCAACCAAAAGAAAUAUUCAAACUAAAUACAACACCAGAUCACAAAAUAAAAGGUAUCUAAUCUAGCAAAUUCCAAAGCAACAUGCCACCAGAAAGAACCACAGAGCAAGGCAUAUGAACAGAAACACACUGAGAAUAUUUUACAAACCUUUAGUUUCAUAUUUUGGAGCUCUGUCUACAUUAACACAACUUAUAUCCUCUUAACCCUUGUUGCAAAGUCUGAAGACCUUGAGAGUUUCAGUUAUCUCCUUAUCUGAAGAGAUAACUUGUACAAAGACCAAACAGUUUUAGUAUGCACCUGUAGUAAAAGUAACAACUUUAAAGUUAGAGAAUACAAGGAAACUUAUAAAAAGAAAUCUUACAACUUUUAAGAGUAUAGAUAUGGGUAUUUAGAAAUCUGAUGCUCCAUGUCCAGAAAACCUUUAAGUUAAAAGAAUUAUUCGCUUACUUAAUGGUUUUGUUAGAUAGUUUCUACUGACAAAGAUAAAGGGUCAAAUGAAAAUCCA